rnacentral:rRNA from 1 species
AUUGAACGCUGGCGGCAGGCCUAACACAUGCAAGUCGAACGAGUGGCGGACGGGUGAGUAAUGUCUGGGAAACUGCCUGAUGGAGGGGGAUAACUACUGGAAACGGUAGCUAAUACCGCAUACCAUCGGAUGUGCCCAGAUGGGAGUAGCUUGUUGGUGGGGUAACGGCUCACCAAGGCGACGAGCCCUAGCUGGUCUGAGAGGAUGACCAGACACAAGGGAACUGAGACACGGUCCAGACUCCUAGGGGAGGCAGCAGUGGGGAAUAUUGCACAGUGGGCGCAAGCCUGAUGCAGCCAGGCCGCGUGUAUGAAGAAGGCCUUCGGGUUGUAAAGUACUUGCAGCGGGGAGGCGUUACCCGCAGAAGAAGCACCGGCUAACUCCGUGCCAGCAGCCGCGGUAAUAC